UGAUCAGGUUGAUAGGUCAGAGGUGGAAGCGCGGUAACGUGUGGAGCUGACUGAUACUAAUCGAUCGAGGACUUAACCUUA
rnacentral:rRNA from 1 species